rnacentral:rRNA from 1 species
GAUGAACGCUAGCUACAGGCUUAACACAUGCAAGUCGAGGGGCAGCGGGAUUGAAGCUUGCUUCACUUGCGGGCGACCGGCGCACGGGUGAGUAACGCGUAUCCAACCUUCCGUACACUCAGGGAUAGCCUUUCGAAAGAAAGAUUAAUACCUGAUGGUAUGAUGAGAUUGCAUGAUAUCAUCAUUAAAGAUUUAUCGGUGUACGCUGGGGCUGCGUGCCAUUAGGUAGUAGGCGGGGUAACGGCCGACCUGGCCAACGCUGGAUAGGGGUUCUGAGCGGAAGGUCCCUGACAUUGGAACUGACCCACGGUCCAAAGUCCUACGGGAGGCAGCAGUGCGGAAUAUUGGUCAAUGGACGAGAGUCUGAACCAGCCAAGUAGCGUGAAGGAUGACGGUGCGACGGAUUAUAACCUUCUUUUAUAAGGGAGUAGACGCCCGCACGUGUGGGAGCUUGUAUGUACCUUAUGAAUAAGCAUCGGCUAACUCCGUG